GGUCCUAUAGUCUAGUGGUCAGGACGUUGGAUUUUGAUUUAAUCUGCCUUCCAAAGUCGCCAGUUCGAACCUGGCUAGGACCU